AUGAACGCUGGCGGCGUGCCUAAUACAUGCAAGUCGCGCGAACAGACGAGGAGCUUGCUCCUCUGACGUUAGCGGCGGACGGGUGAGUAACACGUGGAUAACCUACCUAUAAGACUGGGAUAACUUCGGGAAACCGGAGCUAAUACCGGAUAAUAUAUUGAACCGCAUGGUUCAAUAGUGAAAGACGGUUUUGCUGUCACUUAUAGAUGGAUCCGCGCCGCAUUAGCUAGUUGGUAAGGUAACGGCUUACCAAGGCAACGAUGCGUAGCCGACCUGAGAGGGUGAUCGGCCACACUGGAACUGGGACACGGUCCAGACUCCUACGGGAGGCAGCAGUAGGGAAUCUUCCGCAAUGGGCGAAAGCCUGACGGAGCAACGCCGCGUGAGUGAUGAAGGUCUUCGGAUCGUAAAACUCUGUUAUUAGGGAAGAACAAAUGUGUAAGUAACUAUGCACGUCUUGACGGUACCUAAUCAGAAAGCCACGGCUAACUACGUG
rnacentral:rRNA from 1 species